UCUACGGAGAAAAGCAGCGGAUCGCAAGACCUUGCGCUCUUGGAGCGGCCGACGUCUGAUUAGCUAGAUGGUGAGGUAACGGCUUACCAAGGCGACGAUCAGUAGCUGGUCUGAGAGGAGGACCAGCCACACUGGGACUGAGACACGGCCCAGACUCCUACGGGAGGCAGCAGUGGGGAAUUUUGGACAAUGGGGGAAACCCUGAUCCAGCCAUGCCGCGUGAGUGAAGAAGGCCUUCGGGUUGUAAAGCUCUUUCAGCCGGAACGAAACGGUCACGGCUAAUACCUGUGACUACUGACGGUACCGGAAGAAGAAGCACCGGCUAACUACGUGCCAGCAGCCGCGGUAAUACGUAGGGUGCAAGCGUUAAUCGGAAUUACUGGGCGUAAAGCGUGCGCAGGCGGUUUUGUAAGUCAGAUGUGAAAUCCCCGGGCUUAACCUGGGAACUGCGUUUGAAACUACAAGGCUAGA
rnacentral:rRNA from 1 species